AUUGAACGCUGGCGGCAUGCCUUACACAUGCAAGUCGAACGGCAGCACGGGGCAACCUGGUGGCGAGUGGCGAACGGGUGAGUAAUGCAUCGGAACGUGCCAUUGAGUGGGGGAUAACGUAGCGAAAGUUGCGCUAAUACCGCAUAUUCUGUGAGCAGGAAAGCAGGGGACCGCAAGGCCUUGCGCUCUUUGAGCGGCCGAUGUCAGAUUAGCUAGUUGGUGAGGUAACGGCUUACCAAGGCGACGAUCUGUAGCGGGUCUGAGAGGAUGAUCCGCCACACUGGAACUGAGACACGGUCCAGACUCCUACGGGAGGCAGCAGUGGGGAAUUUUGGACAAUGGGCGCAAGCCUGAUCCAGCCAUGCCGCGUGAAGGAUUAAGGCCCUAUGGGUUGUAAACUUCUUUUGUUUGGGUAAGAAAUCAGGACAUUUAUGUGCUGUUGACGGUACCUUACGAAUAAGCACCGGCUAACUCCGUGCCAGCAGCCGCGGUAA
rnacentral:rRNA from 1 species